rnacentral:lncRNA from 1 species
UUCACCAGUUUCUCUGCACGAAUACCGAGAGAAACCGAGCGGCGUUCUUCGUGUUCUUCGUAAUCAAACGAGGAUUUGAAGGCGUUAUUGGAAUCCGAUGGAGGCGUAUGAAUAGUCAAAACGAAGCUAUCGACGCGUAGAAUCAAGUUUAUGCAUCCUUACACCUGCAGAUUUAACAGGUUAUUUUAUAUUAAUUUUUGAAAAUUCGAAUUUAUAUGAUUUCACGUAUGAAUUUUUGAAAACGUGAUUGUUUGAUUGAUUUGAUGAUUCUAUGAUGUAGAGCGUGUUUUUCUCGUCGUUUUGAUAUAUUGUAUGUCAAAAACGGAGUCCGGAAACAUGUUUAAAAUGAGGUUUAAUCUUCGAAAUUCAUGUUCUUGGUGUUCUUGAGUUUAUAGCCGGAAAAUUUUGAUUUUUGGUCGGUAUUUUGAUUGGUUAAGUCUGGGUUUAAUUGGAUAGUACCAUUGGAUAGCUUGUGUGAUUCUCAAUCGAUCCCCGUAUUCAGUUUUUAGGUUGGUAGUUUGUGAAGCCUCGCCGGAGUUUAAACUCCACGGCGGCGGCGCAAGUUUGGCUGGGAUUUCCGGCCAAACUACUGCGUUCUUGAAUAAACUAGACUCGUGGUUGAGUUCCUGAUAGUAUGUAGGCUAUAUCUGCACGUUUUGGUGAAGUUUGGAGCUUUGUAGCCGUUUCACGGCGAAAAUCCGGCGAAGGCUCGUCGGAGAUGGUGACCGGGGGUCAAAUUACAAUUUGAUCCCCAAACUUAUUAAAAUGAUACGGUGUGAACCCUGAAGUUUAUAAGUUUUAAUUCUGCCCCUAAUAGUUUACAAAGUUUGCACAGUGAACCUUGGAGUUUUAAAUCUUUUCAAAAACAUUUUAUUAUUUAUUUUAAUCUCGAAAAUUAUUGAUUUUAAAUUCAAAAAUGCUUUUUAAAUAUUUGUUUAUUCAAAAAUAAAUCUAAAUUAGUUUAUUAAUUAAUUUUAAUUAGUAAUUAAUUAUUUUAAUUGAUCAAUUAAUUUAAAUAUUAAUUGAUUAAUUAAUUUAAUUAAUUAUUAAUUGAUUUUAAUUGAUUAAUUAAUUGGAUUUAAUUAUUCUUUUUGAUUUAAAAAUUCCGAAAAAUAGUUUCGAGCUUUAAAAUAUUUUUCCAAAUUAUUUUCAAGGCUCGAUAAUUGUUUAUGAAUGAUUUCAAGUCCAAUUUCAAGUAUUUGGGACUUGAUUAUUUAUCCAAAAAGUGAUUCUUUUAUCGAUUUUAAUUCCGAAAAAUGUUUAAAAAUUCCAGAAAAUUCCCGAAAAAUCAUUUUUAACCCAAGAGUUGAUUUGAUAUCAAUUGGGGUGGGAAACCUUAUGUGUAAUGUGUUGUCUGCUAUCUGUUUGAUGUGUUAUGUGCCGAUAGAGGAGUUAGAAAACGGUUUUGAUCAUAACUUUUGAUCCGUAAGUCGGAAUCAAGUGAAACGAAAGAGAGACAGAAGCUUAUAAAGUCUAGUUUGAUAUGACAUAAUAUUAUGAUGGAGUCGAGAAUCUGAAUAAUUUUUGUUAAAUGUGCAAAAUGUGAUUAUAUGUUAUUUGGUUGCUAUUAACUAAUGACUACGUGAUAUACAUGUUUAUUCAUGAUAGUAUACACGUGUGAUAAAUGAUUUGGAUGACAUAGUGUCGUGAGUUGAUUGAUAUUGGAUAAGAAUAUAUGGAUUAUAGUGAUUGGAUCUUGUUGGUUGAUUGUUGAUUGAGAUAGGAUAACAGGUGGAUAGUCUAAUAAAUAGACGAGACGAUGUCGGAUUUUCGAUAGGAUUCAUAUGAUAAGUGAUUGGUAAUAUGUUAUGUGGAAUAUGACUUGACUAUAUGGUAGAGUCAAAGCAUGAUUACGUGUUAAGUGAUAUGUGAUAAGUUUAAAGGGGUAUAUAAGUGGGUAUCGAUAUACGUGAUAUGUAUAUGCGAUAUAUUGUUUAGUGACUAUAGUAUUAUCUUAUUCUCGUAAAGGAUUUGGACGAGACGUGUACGCUCGAAGACGUCAGAGAGUUGGAAUGGUAUUGCAAAGCGAAUAAGGGAUGAAUCGAGUAAGCGAAGCGAUGUGGCGAAUAGAGUAUAGCUAGAGAUGGUCUAGAGAUUACGAGAUGCAUAGAUUGUGAAAGUUGAAAGAUGAGAUAGAGAUGUGAGACUGGAGUCAGAUUUAAGGCAAGUAUCCUAAACCUUUCUCUUGGAUAUAUUGCAAAUAUUCUGAUCCAUUCCUUUGGUAUAUGUUUCAAAUAUUCAUACCUUUCUUUGCUACAUUUAAAAGUGCGAGUAUUCUGAUCCAUUCUUUCCAAUCCUCAAGUUUCUAAAGAAUUUCAGCUUUAUAAAUCAAUUCGAAGUUCAUAUUGUCAUUGAAGCAUGUGUUGCUCAGUGAUAGUUAGAGCUUUGAAUGAAUUGGGAUCUUCUUGAUUAUUCAACCCGCCAUUGUCAUGCUGGUUUAGCAGGCUAAAUUCAGUUGCUUAGCCGAUAAUGGAGGAUACUGAAUAGUUGAGGAUUUCCUGAACUGUGAUUUAUGAAAUGAUGGAUCAUGAUUUAUGAAUAGUUGAUUAUCAAAGUUUGAUUUGGAAUUAUUCUAUCAUCGAUAUUGAUUGUGUUUAUGUUCUGUUGUUAUAUGUUGACCUGUUAUUGAAUUAUAGAAUUGGAUUGUUGUUUUUAUAAAAAUAUGCGGACCAGAUGAGUGGUCAUGUUAGGCCAAUGAGUGCCUUGGAUCCAGUGACAGAGCAUGGCGGGGCCUGCUCGGGGGUAGGUAUGACUGAUCAGCAUCCUAACCUUGGUUUUAAUUAAAAUGUGAUAGUCCAAUUCGAUAAUUCUCUUGGAAAGAUUGAAUUACUCCAGUAUUCCAUUGAUGCAAGGUAUUGUGAAUCAUUCUAUACAAUACCUUAAUCUUAUGAAUUUAUGUCGAAUCUUUUACUAAAGUAUCUUGAGCCUUUGAACUUCUAUCAUAUUGAUUCAGAAUUGUUAUUGUUUAUUAUUACUUGCUGAGCAUUGUUGCUCACCCUUGCUAUUCUCUUUUAACCAUUUCAGAAAGGAUUAAAGAUGAAUGGCUAGACUAUGAUUGCGAGUAAGGCUAAGGCUAGGCGAGGAGUCAGAGGUGUUAAGGAUCCAGUGGUUGAGGAGUGUGCAGGAAGAUUGAUAAGGUUGGUGCUAGCUCGAGUUGUGCUAUUGAGAUUCAGAUGUAAGUGAUAGCUGGAAUAGAUUGAUAGUGAUUCUUCUUAUCGAAGAUGAUCUGAUUUGGUAAGAGAUGUUGUGUAAUAAUAGUGGUUGAUUCUAAUUUCAAUACUGUAACCUGGAUGCGAUCCUGUUGUUUUUGGGGGUUAAGAUGUUCUCUUUCAAAUCUUU